GAUGAACGCUAGCUACAGGCUUAACACAUGCAAGUCGAGGGGUAACAAGAGAAAAGCUUGCUUUUCUUGUUGACGACCGGCGCACGGGUGAGUAACGCGUAUCCAACCUGCCUAUAACUAGGGAAUAACCUUGCGAAAGUAAGACUAAUACCCUAUGAUUUCCUUUGAUGACAUCAGAUUAGGAAUAAAGAUUUAUCGGUUAUAGAUGGGGAUGCGUCUGAUUAGCUUGUUGGCGGGGUAACGGCCCACCAAGGCAACGAUCUGUAGGGGUUCUGAGAGGAAGGUCCCCCACAUUGGAACUGAGACACGGUCCAAACUCCUACGGGAGGCAGCAGUGAGGAAUAUUGGUCAAUGGGCGGAAGCCUGAACCAGCCAAGUAGCGUGCAGGAUGACGGCCCUAUGGGUUGUAAGCUGCUUUUAUACAGGAAUAAAGUUAGCCACGUGUGGUUAUUUGUAGGUACUGUAUGAAUAAGGACCGGCUAAUUCCGUGCCAGCCGCCGCAGUAA
rnacentral:rRNA from 1 species